UACAGAGGGGGCAAGCGUUGUUCGGAAUUACUGGGCGUAAAGGGCGCGUAGGCGGCCUUCUAAGUCGAACGUGAAAUCCCUGGGCUCAACCCAGGAACUGCGUCCGAUACUGGAAGGCUUGAAUCCGGGAGAGGGAUGCGGAAUUCCAGGUGUAGCGGUGAAAUGCGUAGAUAUCUGGAGGAACACCGGUGGCGAAGGCGGCAUCCUGGACCGGUAUUGACGCUGAGGCGCGAAAGCCAGGGGGGCAAACGGG
rnacentral:rRNA from 1 species